rnacentral:rRNA from 1 species
GUAGGCCGUGGCUAUAAAGCUAUAGCGGCAACUUCUGGUGGUCUUGGAGCUACAUAUGAAGUACUAGAAGACGUUGCUGAAAACAAACCGAUUGAUGUUAAAGAAGCAGCUCUUACUGGAGCAAUUAGUGCUGUGGGCGUUCCUGUUACUAUAGCAGGCGCUAGGACAGUUGCUAACAUAGUUCAAGAUAAGGUUUCCAA